UCGGCUUGUCCCUUCGGUC
rnacentral:siRNA from 1 species